GUAGCAAGGUUAACCGAAUAGGGGAGCCGGAGGGAAACCGAGUCUUAACCGGGCGUUAAGUUGCAGGGUAUAGACCCGAAACCCGGUGAUCUAGCCAUGGGCAGGUUGAAGGUUGGGUAACACUAACUGGAGGACCGAACCGACUAAUGUUGAAAAAUUAGCGGAUGACCUGUGGCUGGGGGUGAAAGGCCAAUCAAACCGGGAGAUAGCUGGUUCUCCCCGAAAGCUAUUUAGGUAGCGCCUCGUGAAUUCAUCUCCGGGGGUAGAGCACUGUUUCGGCUAGGGGGCCAUCCCGGCUUACCAACCCGAUGCAAACUGCGAAUACCGGAGAAUGUUAUCACGGGAGACACACGGCGGGUGCUAACGUCCGUCGUGAAGAGGGAAACAACCCAGACCGCCAGCUAAGGUCCCAAAGUCAUGGUUAAGUGGGAAACGAUGUGGGAAGGCCCAGACAGCCAGGAUGUUGGCUUAGAAGCAGCCAUCAUUUAAAGAAAGCGUAAUAGCUCACUGGUCGAGUCGGCCUGCGCGGAAGAUGUAACGGGGCUAAACCAUGCACCGAAGCUGCGGCAGCGACACUGUGUGUUGUUGGGUAGGGGAGCGUUCUGUAAGCCUGUGAAGGUGUGUCGUGAGGCAUGCUGGAGGUAUCAGAAGUGCGAAUGCUGACAUAAGUAACGAUAAAGCGGGUGAAAAGCCCGCUCGCCGGAAGACCAAGGGUUCCUGUCCAACGUUAAUCGGGGCAGGGUGAGUCGACCCCUAAGGCGAGGCCGAAAGGCGUAGUCGAUGGGAAACGGGUUAAUAUUCCCGUACUUGGUGUUACUGCGAAGGGGGGACGGAGAAGGCUAUGUUGGCCGGGCGACGGUUGUCCCGGUUUAAGCGUGUAGGUGUGUGUUCCAGGUAAAUCCGGUUCACUUUAACACUGAGGCGUGACGACGAGGCACUACGGUGCUGAAGCAACAAAUGCCCUGCUUCCAGGAAAAGCCUCUAAGCAUCAGGUAACAUCAAAUCGUACCCCAAACCGACACAGGUGGUCAGGUAGAGAAUACCAAGGCGCUUGAGAGAACUCGGGUGAAGGAACUAGGCAAAAUGGUGCCGUAACUUCGGGAGAAGGCACGCUGACACGUAGGUGAAGUGAUUUACUCAUGGAGCUGAAGUCAGUCGAAGAUACCAGCUGGCUGCAACUGUUUAUUAAAAACACAGCACUGUGCAAACACGAAAGUGGACGUAUACGGUGUGACGCCUGCCCGGUGCCGGAAGGUUAAUUGAUGGGGUCAGCGCAAGCGAAGCUCCUGAUCGAAGCCCCGGUAAACGGCGGCCGUAACUAUAACGGUCCUAAGGUAGCGAAAUUCCUUGUCGGGUAAGUUCCGACCUGCACGAAUGGCGUAAUGAUGGCCAGGCUGUCUCCACCCGAGACUCAGUGAAAUUGAACUCGCUGUGAAGAUGCAGUGUACCCGCGGCAAGACGGAAAGACCCCGUGAACCUUUACUAUAGCUUGACACUGAACAUUGAGCCUUGAUGUGUAGGAUAGGUGGGAGGCUUUGAAGUGUGGACGCCAGUCUGCAUGGAGCCGACCUUGAAAUACCACCCUUUAAUGUUUGAUGUUCUAACGUGGACCCGUUACCCGGGUUGCGGACAGUGUCUGGUGGGUAGUUUGACUGGGGCGGUCUCCUCCUAAAGAGUAACGGAGGAGCACGAAGGUUGGCUAAUCCUGGUCGGACAUCAGGAGGUUAGUGCAAUGGCAUAAGCCAGCUUGACUGCGAGCGUGACGGCGCGAGCAGGUGCGAAAGCAGGUCAUAGUGAUCCGGUGGUUCUGAAUGGAAGGGCCAUCGCUCAACGGAUAAAAGGUACUCCGGGGAUAACAGGCUGAUACCGCCCAAGAGUUCAUAUCGACGGCGGUGUUUGGCACCUCGAUGUCGGCUCAUCACAUCCUGGGGCUGAAGUAGGUCCCAAGGGUAUGGCUGUUCGCCAUUUAAAGUGGUACGCGAGCUGGGUUUAGAACGUCGUGAGACAGUUCGGUCCCUAUCUGCCGUGGGCGCUGGAGAACUGAGGGGGGCUGCUCCUAGUACGAGAGGACCGGAGUGGACGCAUCACUGGUGUUCGGGUUGUCAUGCCAAUGGCACUGCCCGGUAGCUAAAUGCGGAAGAGAUAAGUGCUGAAAGCAUCUAAGCACGAAACUUGCCCCGAG
rnacentral:rRNA from 1 species